UAUUACUUAUACGGUCACCUAUAUAUGUGUGAUCGAUAGGUUCAUGCGUGUCAAUGCGUAUCGACAAAUGUCUGUGGCACGCAACUGGUCGCAAAUACCGGCACGGAUUAGCUGCUAUCGCUCCUAAAAUCUUAGCCAACGCGAGAGAGAAAUAUUUGCAACUAUGUACAAACAAGUUGACAAACCGUUUACCUUUAUAAAUUUUUAUACACGCGCUUUUUCUACACGUCGUUACGUGUAAAUUUUAUACCCUACUUUAUGCAAAUAGACGCGAUUUCGAGACUCGUUCCGAUAAAAGUUUCCGAUAAACUUGGGAAAUCCCAGCAGCAAGUUGCUUUGCCUUCUGAAACAAAUGGUGCAACAAAAGGAGCAUCUGACUACGAGGCAAGAAUGGGGACAAACUUUCUGGCAAGAGGACUGCUUUGACCGUUCAGAACCUUCGAAUCGAAAAUCUAUCUCAAUCUUGUCUCGUACGUCUCGUGCAUAACUGUUCUUCGUACUCUUACACACACUGAAUACAGUUGAAACUCUCGAAAGUAACGAGGAAUUCGAUCGACGAUGGCCGAAUAGCACAGCAACGAAAGCUCAACGUUUAACGAAAGCCAAUUACUUUGCCUUUUUCUUUUUAAGAUCGCUAUUGGCCACGAUCGCGAUCUCAGGGAACGAUAUUAUCCCGCGCGAAAUGCAUCCGAGCAGGAUCUGGUGAAGGGCAACCAAGCAACAGAGGCAACCACACGCGUUAAUCGUUUGCAACUAACGAUGUUGCGUGACGCCCGUGACAGAGACGUGCGUACGAAAACCGUGCGACUAGCAAUCCGAGCAUUGCAAACUACAACGAAGAGCAUAAUUGUACCAAUAACAAUUGCGAAAAAUUGCGAAACAUUUAUUCGCUUAAACUGAUGCAAGAUUGUAAGAAAAGAUCAUCAGGUCUCAUUUUAUAAGCGAAGCUUCUAUUUUGAUAGUCGCGAGUUCGUUUCUUUCAAAGAUGAUUUUACAUCACGUGCCGGGUGGGAAACUGAAGACACAUUUUCCUCGAAAAUUGUAAAAAUUCAAACGCGUGUGUGAAAACAUUAAAAAAAUUUCUUUUCUCGUCAGUGAUUAUCUACCAUGAUUUUGAAACUUUUCUUCUUCACGACCUCUUGAAACUCGCUGUACGACAUACAUACGUACGUACGUACGUACGACAGAGAUCCAUAUGUGCGCGAUCGUGGAUCGAUCGAAAAUCGAUGAUGGAAGAAAUCGCGUGGCAACGAGGCGUUGAUGCAACAACGCGGUAAAAUUUGUACAACUCUCGUGCAUCGAUAACGAUCGAUCGAGACUACUACGCGGUUCGCCUAAUCGGUGACCGAGUAAUUUUACUGUGUUCUUAAAGCGAGCAGAAAUUACUUCACGCGAUAAUUAGAAUCACUGUCUGCUGUCAGGAGAACGAGCAGCGAUUAAUCAAAAGGGAAAUCUAUGUCUCGUUACUACGUACGUAGCGAUUGCGCUAUAGCUAUAGCGGGUCAAAAAUAAUUUGACGAUUCGGUAAUUUAACCUGACCGAUUCGUGCGUCCCUACGUUUCUAAUUUCGUCCAACACAUUCUAUCGAGACGAUUCUGUCGAUCGUAAUCUAUCUACUAUUUACGUACACACUCCGUUCUUACGUUCUUUUCUCAUUUAAUACUCGAUCGACGACGUACCUUCUUCUUCUUCUGCUGCUUCUUCGGGAAAGAAGAGAGAAGAAAGAGAGAAGAUUCUCACGCGCGUUACGCUCAGCGAUUUCUUUGCCUGAAAGAAACGCAAUCGUGCCACUUGGAAGAAUGCAUUGCAUCGUAGCUCGGAUCGGAUCGGAUCGGUGGGUAUAGCGGUGAUGUGCGUUAUGGAUUGCAACUGGCUUACGGUGUAACUAACUGCUACAGAGACAACGAGACAGCACACUGUAACGUACAUACGUAAAAUUAGAUGCUUGGACUCGAUAACCGGCGCGGCGCGGUGUUACGUAACGAUCAUUAACCGGUUCUACGACCAACAGACUGACAGAUAUUCAUCGUGAUUGUCAUCGAACAGCGGGAGGUCGAGCCCUUUGUCAGAACGCACCGACGUAAAGAGCAAAUUCGAUUUUUUCAAUCGAAUUUACAAGAAUAAGAAAGAUUCGCGUAUAUUUGCUCGAAGCCGGUACCGAAGGAGAUACCGGCAGUCUCGUUGGCUCGGUGAUUGCUGGAAUAUUUGCAAUUCCAGCCGUCGCCAUCUGGUAGAACAGCAUUUCUGCAAGUCGACAUAUCCAGGUGAAACUUAAAAUUCAAGCGUACGUCACGAGCAGCGACCAGUCCCCGCGAGCACACACACCUACGUACGUCGCGUAGCUCUCGCCGCAACGUAAUUACACGCUGCGCUUUCAUCGUCCAACAGAUCAUCCCCUGUUUAUGGGGAAACGUUUGAACGAAUCUCCGGGCCACACUGAUAGGAAACGAACAAACGAACGAACGAACGAACGAAGAAGGAGAGGAAGAGAGAAAGAGAGAAAGCUCAAAGAGCCCUUUCCCUUCCGGCUUCUAUGGUCGAUUUUCAUUCCGGCGGAACGUUCGCAAGCAGACGUCUGCGUAUCGGUAUGUUUGUGCAAUUACAAAUCUGGAAUCUUUUUGAUCGCGAAAAUUGAACAAUUGGUCGCGAACGAUGGAUCGAUCGAAAAGGAAAUCAUUCGUGAGAGAUUUUUUCUUUUUCUAACCGCGUUGACAAAUUUUUCUUCUCGUUCGACUACUCACGGCACUAAGUAAAUUCGACAGUCGGGGAAACUCUGAUAAACUCUGGAAGCGUACUGCAGUAUCUUUGUUUUCUCAUCAAAUGUUUCAUCAAGCGGAUUCCAUCGGUGCAUGUUUGAAAAUCGAACGUCGGUCAUGCAGACAAGUAGAUCCCCGACGUUUUCUCGUUUUCUGGUGCAACGUUUACAGCCACGCUGGUCGCGUGUUAACAUCUCGGUCGAUUCGUGUCUAUCCGUGUUAUCGAUACUCCCUCGCAUCUCCCGUACAAAGCCAAGUUGAAAUAUUUAUCGAACCACGGAAAGUAGGAAAUUUCCCUCUGAACUUGCUAGUAGUAUCCCAGUGACUCUAAAGUAGUCAAUUCGUACGGUAUAGCAGCUGGAAGUGAAGAGAAAUAAAUUUUCUCAACGUCGGAUUCGAGUUCAGUUCAGCACGGUUCAACUACGUAACCUGUUGCCGCUAUAAAUUUCCUUUCCGUUCGGUCGUUGCAACUCUGUAGCUGCACGCUUGACUUUCUCCUUGUUUCGUUUGCUUCUUCGUUGAUCGUUUUAUAUUCUCGAUAUAAAAGUAGUUGUUAAUAAGAAAUCCUUGUGCUCUACGAUGCAUACAUCACCCAUAAGUAAUCAAUUAUUUUGCAUUUGUUGGAGGGUUACGGCCUUUUCUGCCCAACAAUUUCCAACAAUUUGUGCGAGCGAACGUCAACGGGCUAGGCCGCCCGUUCCUAGGCGUGGGAAGACUUCCUCGCCUAUUUCGUCGAGGCCACUCGAGAUUAAGGACCAUGGGCCGAUUCCAAUGUUUAUAACCGACGCUUGUAAACUGAGCUAGGGUAUCCGGACCGAGGAGGAUACCCGAACUAGAGAAGGAAGCCAGGCGACAUUCCUUCUGCAGAACGUCGCCGAGAUCGCACGUCGGAGUCAGUCUUCAGAUUAGCAAGAAAAUAUACUCUUUGUUAUAAACGAGAAUUACAUUGUAAAAAUAUUGCCUACACUUGGAA